CGGUGGGAUGGGAUGGGAUGGGAUGGGAUGGGAUGGGAUGGGAUGGGAUAGGAUGGGAUGGGUGGGAUGGAUGGAAUGGGUGGGGGUACCUUUGGGAUGGGUGGGGUCACCAUUGGGAUCGGUGGGAUGGAUGGGGUGGGUGGGGACACCUUUGGGAUGGGUGGGAUGAGUGGGGUUCGCAUUGGGAAUGGUGGGAGGGGUGGGAUGGAUGGGAUGGGAGGGAUCAUUGGUGGGAUGGGUGGAAUCAGUGGGAUGGAUGGGAUGGGUGGGAUGAUGGGAUGGAUGGGAUUACGGCUGGGAUGGAUGGGGUCAUCGGUGGGCUUAUGGGAUGGUGGAAUGGGUGGGAUCACCAGUGGGGUCAUGGGACCAAUGGGUGACAUGGGUGGAUCGUCCAUGGCAUGAGUGGGAUCGCUGGGAUUGAUGGGAUAAUUGGUGGGAUGGGUGGGAUGAUGGGAUGGGGGGAUCGUAGGUGGGAUUGGUGGGAUCAAUAGGAUGGAUGGGAUCAUUGGUGGGGUCAUGGGAUCGAUGGGUGACAUGGGUGGGGUCACCAAUGGGAUCAUCGGUGACAUCAGUGGGAUCAAUAGGAUCACUGGAAUGGAUGGGAGCAUCAGUGGGAUGGGUGGGAUCAUCAGUGGGGUCAUGGGGUCGAUGGGUGACAUGGGUGGGAUCAUGGAUGGGAUCAGUGGGAUGGAUGGGAUCAUUGGUGGGGUCAUGGGAUCAGUGUGAUCGCUGGUGUGGAUGGGAUAAUCACUGGGAUCCAUGGGGUCAAUGGGAUCUUUGGGAUGGAUGGGAUCAUCAGUGGGGUCAUGAGAUCAGUGGGAUUGCUGGGAUGGGUGGGAUCAUUGGUGGGGUCAUGGGAUCGAUGGGUGACAUGAGUGGGAUCAAUGGUGGGAUCUAUGGGAUGGAUGGGAUGAUUGGUGGGGUCAUGGGAUCGAUGGGUGACAUGGGUGGGGUCACCAAUGGGAUCAUCGGUGACAUCAGUGGGAUCAAUAGGAUCACUGGAAUGGAUGGGAGCAUCAGUGGGAUGGGUGGAAUCAUCAGUGGGGUCAUGGGAUCAGUGGGAUCGCUGGUGUGGAUGGGAUAAUCACUGGGAUCCAUGGGGUCAGUGGGAUCUUUGGGAUGGAUGGGAUCAUUGUUGGGGUCAUGAGAUCAGUGGGAUUACUGGAAUGGGUGGGAUCAUUGGUGGGAUCGGCGUAGUGGAUGGGAUCAGUGGGAUCAUCAGCGGGAUGUAUGGGAACACUGAGACUGGGAUAGCUGGGAUGGAUGGGAUCAGCAGCGGCGUCAUGGGAUCGAUGGUGACAUCACCAGUGGGAUCAUGGGUGGCAUCAGGGGGAUCGUUGGGAUGGGUGGGAUCACUGAGGGAUGGAUGGGAUGGGUCGGAUCGCUGCUGGCAUCAGUGGGAUCGGGGGGACCAAUGGCAUUGCUGGGAUCGCAUGGAUGGAUGGGAUCGUCGGUGGGUUAUGGGAUCAAUGGGUGACAUGGGUGGGACCAUGGAUGGGAUCAAUGGGAUGGUUGGGAUCAAUGGUGGGAUCAAUGGGAUGGAUGGGAUCGUCGGUGGGGUUAUGGGAUCAAUGGGUGACAUGGGUGGGGUCACUGGUGGGAUCAUGGGUGGCAUCAGUGAGAUCAGUGGGGUCGCUGGGAUGGAUGGGAUCAUCACUGGGAUUGUUGGGGUUGGUGGGACGGAUGGGAUCAUCACUGGGAUUGGUGGGAUGGAUGGGAUGGAUGGGAUCAUCACUGGGAUGGAUGGGAUCAUCACUGGGAUUGGUGGGACGGAUGGGAUCAUACUGGGAUGGAUGGGAUCAUACUGGGAUGGAUGGGAUCAUCACUGGGAUUGAUGGGACGGGUGGAAUCAUACUGGGAUGGAUGGGAUCAUCAGUGGGAUUGGUGGGAUGGAUGGGAUGGAUGGGAUCAUCACUGGGAUGGAUGGGAUCAUCACAGGGAUUGGGGGGAUGGAUGGGAUCAUACGGGGAUGGAUGGGAUCAUCACUGGGAUUGGUG
ensembl:lncRNA